rnacentral:rRNA from 1 species
AUACGGAGGGUGCGAGCGUUAAUCGGAAUUACUGGGCGUAAAGCGCGCGUAGGCGGUUUGUUAAGUCGGAUGUGAAAUCCCCGGGCUCAACCUGGGACCUGCAUCCGAUACUGGCAGGCUAGAGUCUGGUAGAGGGGGGUAGAAUUCCUGGUGUAGCGGUGAAAUGCGUGGAUAUCAGGAGGAAUACCAGUGGCGAAGGCGGCCCCCUGGACUGAGACUGACGCUGAGGUGCGGAAGCGUGGGGAGCGAACAGGAUUAGAAACCCCAGUAGUCC